GAGGGUCAUGGAGCCGACUCUGCUCAGUGAUUUGCUUCCAGGACACACCCGGCCAUUACAGGCAGCCUCUUAAUGUAGAGAAGGCCCUGCAAUUUGAUGUGUAGUGUUUGUAUAAGCCUCCAAAGUCAGGAGAAAUGCAGACAUGUCCAUGCAAAGGCUUAUGAAAAGCAAGUUUACCAUGCAUUGAUUAUCAGCUUAUCUGAAUGCAGUGGAACACCCACACACACACAACUAAAGACUCCACAGAAGCCGAAGAUUCAUUGCAAGACGGUCUCCCAAGAUUCAAGAAAGCUGUCCAUGAUGAGUAGAAAGUUAUCUACAAAUACUUCUCUUCCACUGUAUCCCAAAAAGCUGCCUACCCUGGUUUUUAUACUCUGGAGGCAACAUGGCAAAUGGGGCUAAAACAAAGUACAAACUGCUACUACAAGCAAAUGGAAUAAAGCCUAGCCACCUA